rnacentral:lncRNA from 1 species
UGUUAUAUACGAAAGUAUAUUACAUUCUCUCCUCACAAGUGGUUCAGGGUCAAGAACCAAAUAACUCAAUCUUAUUAUUGAUGUGCGGUGUAUAUUUUCAUUAACACCAUAAUGCACAAAGAUGGAUUCUCAAAGUUGAGGAAACAAGUUAGUUUUUCUAACAUGAGGGGGAGACAUGAUAAACAGUUGUGAAAACGUUAUGUAGAAUGAAUUAUCAUUUGUAUAUCUAGAUCCUCGAAUAG